rnacentral:rRNA from 1 species
UACGUAGCCGACCUGAGAGGGUGAUCGGCCACACUGGAACUGAGACACGGUCCAGACUCCUACGGGAGGCAGCAGUAGGGAAUCUUCCGCAAUGGGCGAAAGCCUGACGGAGCAACGCCGCGUGAGUGAUGAAGGUCUUCGGAUCGUAAAGCUCUGUUGUUAGGGAAGAACAAAUGUGUAAGUAACUGUGCACAUCUUGACGGUACCUAACCAGAAAGCCACGGCUAACUACGUGCCAGCAGCCGCGGUAAUACGUAGGUGGCAAGCGUUAUCCGGAAUUAUUGGGCGUAAAGCGCGCGUAGGCGGUUUUUUAAGUCUGAUGUGAAAGCCCACGGCUCAACCGUGGAGGGUCAUUGGAAACUGGAAAACUUGAGUGCAGAAGAGGAAAGUGGAAUUCCAUGUGUAGCGGUGAAAUGCGCAGAGAUAUGGAGGAACACCAGUGGCGAAGGCGGCUUUCUGGUCUGCAACUGACGCUGAUGUGCGAAAGCGUGGGGAUCAAACAGGAUUAGAUACCCUGGUAGUCCACGCCGUAAACGAUGAGUGCUAAGUGUUAGGGGGUUUCCGCCCCUUAGUGCUGCAGCUAACGCAUUAAGCACUCCGCCUGGGGAGUACGGUCGCAAGACUGAAACUCAAAGGAAUUGACGGGGACCCGCACAAGCGGUGGAGCAUGUGGUUUAAUUCGAAGCAACGCGAAGAACCUUACCAAAUCUUGACAUCCUUUGACCGCUCUAGAGAUAGAGUUUUCCUCUUCGGAGGACAAAGUGACAGGUGGUGCAUGGUUGUCGUCAGCUCGUGUCGUGAGAUGUUGGGUUAAGUCCCGCAACGAGCGCAACCCUUGAACUUAGUUGCCAUCAUUCAGUUGGGCACUCUAAGUUGACUGCCGGUGACAAACCGGAGGAAGGUGGGGAUGACGUCAAAUCAUCAUGCCCCUUAUGAUUUGGGCUACACACGUGCUACAAUGGACAAUACAAAGGGCAGCGAAACCGCGAGGUCAAGCAAAUCCCAUAAAGUUGUUCUCAGUUCGGAUUGUAGUCUGCAACUCGACUACAUGAAGCUGGAAUCGCUAGUAAUCGUAGAUCAGCAUGCUACGGUGAAUACGUUCCCGGGUCUUGUACACACCGCCCGUCACACCACGAGAGUUUGUAACACCCGAAGCCGGUGGAGUAACCAUUUUGGAGCUAGCCGUCGAAGGUGGGACAAAUGAUUGGGGUGAAGUCGUAACAAGGUAGCCGUAUCGGAAGGUGCGGCUGGAUCACCUCCUUUCUA